rnacentral:rRNA from 1 species
GGAACAGCGGUUAGGAGCUUACACCCACCCGUGUUUACAUACUAUUGUUGCUUUGGCGGGCCGUGGCCUCCACUGCGGGCUCUGCUCGUGUGUGCCCGCCAGAGAACCAAACUCUGAAUGUUAGUGAUGUCUGAGUACUAUCUAAUAGUUAAAACUUUCAACAACGGAUCUCUUGGUUCUGGCAUCGAUGAAGAACGCAGCGAAAUGCGAUAAGUAAUGUGAAUUGCAGAAUUCAGUGAAUCAUCGAAUCUUUGAACGCACAUUGCGCCCUGUGGUAUUCCGCAGGGCAUGCCUGUUCGAGCGUCAUUUAACCACUCACGCCUAGCGUGGUAUUAGGGUACGCGGUCUCGCGGCCCUCAAAAUUAGUGGCGGCGCCGGUGGGCUCUAAGCGUAGUACAUACUCCCGCUAUAGAGUUCCUCCGGUGGCUCGCCAGAACCCCCAAUUUUUACAGGUUGACCUCGGAUCAGGUAGGGAUACCCGCUGAACUUAAGCAUAUCAAUAAGCGGAGGAAAAGAAACCAACAGGGAUUACCUCAGUAACGGCGAGUGAAGCGGUAACAGCUCAAAUUUGAAAGCUGCCAACAGGCCGCGUUGUAAUUUGUAGAAGCUGCUUUGGGUGUCGGCCCGGUCUAAGUUCCUUGGAACAGGACGUCAUAGAGGGUGAGAAUCCCGUAUGUGAUCGGUGCCGUUGCCCGUGUAAAGCGCUUUCGACGAGUCGAGUUGUUUGGGAAUGCAGCUCAAAAUGGGUGGUAAAUUUCAUCUAAAGCUAAAUAUUGGCCAGAGACCGAUAGCGCACAAGUAGAGUGAUCGAAAGAUGAAAAGCACUUUGGAAAGAGAGUUAAACAGUACGUGAAAUUGUUGAAAGGGAAGCGCUUGCAACCAGACUUGCGGGCGGUCGAUCAUCCGAGGUUCUCCCCGGUGCACUCGAUCGUUCUCAGGCCAGCAUCGGUUUCCGGGGUGGGAUAAAGGCGGUGGGAAUGUGGCUCUUCGGAGUGUUAUAGCCCACCGUGCAAUGCCGCCACUGGGGACCGAGGACCGCGCUUCGGCUAGGAUGCUGGCGUAAUGGUUGUAAGCGACCCGUCUUGAAACACGGACCAAGGAGUCUAACAUCUAUGCGAGUGUUUGGGUGUCAAACCCAUACGCGUAAUGAAAGUGAACGGAGGUAAGAGCCCUUUAGGGUGCAUUAUCGACCGAUCCUGAUGUCUUCGGAUGGAUUUGAGUAAGAGCAUAGCUGUUGGGACCCGAAAGAUGGUGAACUAUGCGUGAAUAGGGUGAAGCCAGAGGAAACUCUGGUGGAGGCUCGCAGCGGUUCUGACGUGCAAAUCGAUCGUCAAAUUUGCGUAUAGGG